rnacentral:lncRNA from 1 species
UGUUUUGGGGCAUGGCCAGGGUCUCGGGUGGGGUGCCAUCCCUGCCUGAAGAGAUUAAAUCUGCCCUUUAAAGGGUGUGACAGACCCCAGGCUAACAGGCCAGUGGAAGAACUUCAAUGGCGUCUGCCAGGGUCUGUGUCAGCACGCCUGGACUAGGUCACAACAAUGGCCACCAUCAAUGUCUCAGUCUCCAGAGAAGUCUCACCUCUCACCAAGAUGCACCCAGAGCCUACCAGAGGAAUUCAUCCUUACAACCACCUUACAAAAGGAGAAAGGUCAGGAAGUGUCAAGUGGAGCCGAGAGGGAGGAGCAGCAGGAGCAGGAAGAAAAGGGGAGCUUUGAAACCUACCUGGGGAGGCUGUCUUGUAAGGGAUGCUUCCAUCGCUUGUCAUCUCAAGACUCCCCUGGCGAAGCGUGCAAGACAGCAUCUGCUAGAGUCCACCAGCCAUGCGGGAAGCCUGUGGAAGGUGCUUCUCUCACCACGAAUCCAGCACUUUCCCUGGCUCUUCUGGCCUAGUGCACUCUACCUUUGGCCUCCACUCUGCCUGCAGAACCUCCAUCUGCCUUGACCAGAACUCCACUAGGCCCUGUUGCCACGAGCUCAGCUCCAGCUCACUUCUGUUUCCC